ensembl:lincRNA
UUUUACUUGUUUUUUCCUAUUAACUUGUAAGCGGCAAUCAACCGGAUUUUGCUUUUCAUCUAAACUGGCUUUGCAGAACAUACUGUGGACUUCCCCUUUUGUAAAGAAAUAUGCUCUGGUACCAUCUCCUCGAACAUAAAAAUUUUCAGAUAAACAAUGUCCCUUUUUAAAACGAAGCUGAGUCUUAUAUCUUCCAUAGUCUCAAAAUAACAGCAUUCCCCCAGGUUUCAGUAGCUUGGACAGUAGGUUUACAACACCUUGCAUCCUGUUAGGAUGAAUAGAAGAGAGCACAAAGACAAGGAGAAUGACAUCUAGGAUCCCAUCUGGAAAAGGGUAAGGUAAGCCAUCAUCACAUACAUCAUGAACAAAGGCAAAACACUGGGCUGCUCUGUAGGACGAGUGUGACUUUACGAGCUCCACAGCUCCAGAAGCAAAAUCACAACAAUACAGAAAGGACUCUGGAAAGCUCUGCAAAGUGUUCAAAAUUGGAAACACACUAUUUCCAACUCCACAACCAACCUCUAGUAUCCUGAAAGUGGCACUGCUACCAGGAAACAAUCGGUCUUCAUACGUCCUUUUUUGUGUUUUUCAGAGUCUAGGUUGGAGUCUUUUGCUCCAGAGCCCCUCUUGAGGGCAGGCAGAAUUCUAAUACUCAUGAUCUUGGCUCUCUAUCUAAUUAGAAACUAAAGAGAGUUCUUUGUUUUCAGCUCUCAUAGUGCAAUUCCAUCUAAAACAGUUGCUACCUUAAUUCUCUGAGGUGGAGUGCAAGCCUACGUCAGCCUGUUCAAUAUUUUAAGACACAAGUUUCUCACGUCUCAGCAAAUGGAAACCUACAGGGUUGUGGCAGGUCCUCAACAUGUAUGUCUCUCCAAUUCUCCAUUUCCUCUAUUUAGUAGCAAGUAGUGUGUGUGUGUGUGUGUGUGUGUGUAUGUGUGUGUGUGCAGGUGCAUGCGCAUGUAUGUGUCUGAUUGCAGGAUUAUUCCUCUAUUUUUCUAUAGCAUUAUCAUUUCUCAUUUUAAAACAUUAUUUGCUGUUACUGACCCUUCAUUCCAGAAACACAUCGCUUUCUUCCUCUGUACUGGAGUGUAGCAACACAAAGAUACAGCCAACAAUUUCACUUGGUGGUCUGAUGAACUCUCAUAAAUGCCUUGUUUACAGCAUAAGAAUUCCCACCCAAUGGCUUCAAUCUUUAGGUAGAAAUUUGUCACUUGCCUACCUCUAAAUGCACAGUCCAGAAGAGUAAAAACAGCAACAAUGACAAGAUUCUGUUUAAGAAAAAAGAAGAAGAUAGAUAUUUGGUAAGGAAUUAGUAGUAUCUGCUCCCCUCGUGCCAGUCGUUGUUUGACAUGCUUGUGCAAUUAUACUUUUUCUUUUUUAUAUACUUUUAAGGUAUAUAUUUUUUCAUACAAAAAUGUGCAUAAAUGAGGUCUGCUCUAAAAC